rnacentral:tRNA from 2 species
GGGCCUGUAGCUCUAAUUGGUUAGAGCGCUGGACUCCAAAUCCAGGGGGUGGGGGUUCGAAUCCUCCCAGGCCCG